UGGCUCAGGAUGAACGCUGGCGGCGUGCUUAACACAUGCAAGUCGAACGAAGCACCUCUAAUCGAAGAUUGAGAAAGCUUGCUUUGAUUGAUUCACCUUGAGGUGACUGAGUGGCGGACGGGUGAGUAACGCGUGGGUAACCUACCCUAUACAGGGGGAUAACAGUUGGAAACGACUGCUAAUACCGCAUAAGCGCACAGGACCGCAUGGUCUAGUGUGAAAAAACUCCGGUGGUAUAGGAUGGACCCGCGUCUGAUUAGCUAGUUGGUGAGGUAACGGCUCACCAAGGCGACGAUCAGUAGCCGACCUGAGAGGGUGACCGGCCACAUUGGGACUGAGACACGGCCCAAACUCCUACGGGAGGCAGCAGUGGGGAAUAUUGCACAAUGGGCGAAAGCCUGAUGCAGCGACGCCGCGUGAACGAAGAAGUAUUUCGGUAUGUAAAGUUCUAUCAGCAGGGAAGAAAAAUGACGGUACCUGACUAAGAAGCUCCGACUAAAUACGUGCCAGCAGCCGC
rnacentral:rRNA from 1 species